AGCAGCCGCGGUAAUUCCAGCUCCAAUAGCGUAUAUUAAAGUUGUUGCAGUUAAAAAGCUCGUAGUUGAAUUUCGGGGUCUGUCCAUUGGUCGGGCUUCACGGUCCGUACUGGUGAGAUGGGUUCCUACCUUCUGAAUAACCAGCAUGCCAUUUAGUUGGUGCGCUGGGGAAGCAGAGCUAUUACCUUGAAAAAAUUGAGUGCUUAAAGCAGGCUAGUGCUUGAAUAGAUUAGCAUGGAAUAAUAAAAUAGGACGGCAUGGUUCUAUUUUGUUGGUUUCUAGGAUCACCGUAAUGAUUAAUAGGGAUAGUUGGGGGCAUUAGGUAUUCAAUUGUCAGAGGUGGAAUUCUUGGAUUUAUUGAAGACUAACUUCUGCGAAAGCAUUUGCCAAGGAUGUUUUCAUUAAUCAAGAACGAAAGUUAGGGGAUCGAAGACGAUCAGAUACCGUCGUAGUCUUAACCAUAAACUAUGCCGACUAGGGACUCGGACGAUGUUUAAUUUUUUAAUGUAACUUCGUUUCG
rnacentral:rRNA from 1 species